rnacentral:rRNA from 1 species
AGAGUUUGAUCCUGGCUCAGAACGAACGCUGGCGGCAGGCUUAACACAUGCAAGUCGAACGCUCCGCAAGGAGAGUGGCAGACGGGUGAGUAACGCGUGGGAAUCUACCCAUCUCUGCGGAAUAGCUCUGGGAAACUGGAAUUAAUACCGCAUACGCCCUACGGGGGAAAGAUUUAUCGGGGAUGGAUGAGCCCGCGUUGGAUUAGCUAGUUGGUGGGGUAAAGGCCUACCAAGGCGACGAUCCAUAGCUGGUCUGAGAGGAUGAUCAGCCACAUUGGGACUGAGACACGGCCCAAACUCCUACGGGAGGCAGCAGUGGGGAAUAUUGGACAAUGGGCGCAAGCCUGAUCCAGCCAUGCCGCGUGAGUGAUGAAGGCCUUAGGGUUGUAAAGCUCUUUCACCGGUGAAGAUAAUGACGGUAACCGGAGAAGAAGCCCCGGCUAACUUCGUG